rnacentral:rRNA from 1 species
UACGUAGGGGGCAAGCGUUGUCCGGAAUUAUUGGGCGUAAAGAGCUCGUAGGCGGUUUGUCGCGUCUGCUGUGAAAACCUAAGGCUCAACCUUGGGCUUGCAGUGGGUACGGGCAGACUAGAGUGCGGUAGGGGUGACUGGAAUUCCUGGUGUAGCGGUGGAAUGCGCAGAUAUCAGGAGAAACACCGAGUGGCGAAGGCAGGUCACUUGGGC